rnacentral:rRNA from 1 species
AGUGAACGCUGGCGGUAGGCCUAACACAUGCAAGUCGAACGGCAGCACAGUAAGAGCUUGCUCUUACGGGUGGCGAGUGGCGGACUGGUGAGGAAUACAUCGGAAUCUACUUUUUCGUGGGGGAUAACGUAGGGAAACUUACGCUAAUACCGCAUACGACCUACGGGUGAAAGCAGUGGAUCUUCGGACCUUGCGCGAUUGAAUGAGCCGAUGUCGGAUUAGCUAGUUGGCGGGGUAAAGGCCCACCAAGGCGACGAUCCGUAGCUGGUCUGAGAGGAUGAUCAGCCACACUGGAACUGAGACACGGUCCAGACUCCUACGGGAGGCAGCAGUGGGGAAUAUUGGACAAUGGGCGCAAGCCUGAUCCAGCCAUACCGCGUGGGUGGAGAAGGCCUUCGGGUUGUAAAGCCCUUUUGUUGGGAAAGAAAAGCAGCAGGUUAAUACCCCGCUGUUCUGACGGUACCCAAAGAAUAAGCACCGGCUAACUUCGUG